rnacentral:rRNA from 1 species
UGGGGGAUAUUGCACAAUGGGCGAAAGCCUGAUGCAGCGACGCCGCGUGGGGGAUGAAGGCUUUCGGGUUGUAAACCUCUUUCGCUAUCGAACAAGGCCCGCUUAGGGUGGGUUGAGGGUAGGUGGAGAAGAAGCGCCGGCUAACUACGUGCCAGCAGCCGCGGUAAUACGUAGGGCGCGAGCGUUGUCCGGAAUUAUUGGGCGUAAAGGGCUUGUAGGCGGCUUGUUGCUCCUGCUGUGAAAACGCGGGGCUUAACUUCGGGCGUGCAGUGGGUAAGGGCAGGCUUGAGUGUGGUAGGGGUGACUGGAAUUCCAGGUGUAGCGGUGGAAUGCGGAGAUAUCUGGAGGAACACCGAUGGCGAAGGCAGGUCACUGGGCCAUUACUGACGCUGAGGAGCGAAAGCAUGGGUAGCGAACAGG